rnacentral:rRNA from 1 species
UACGUAGGGCGCAAGCGUUGUCCGGAAUUAUUGGGCGUAAAGAGCUCGUAGGCGGCCAGUUGCGUCCGCUGUGAAAUCCCGGGGCUUAACCCCGGGCGUGCAGUGGAUACGGGCUGGCUGGAGGCAGGCAGGGGAGAACGGAAUUCCUGGUGUAGCGGUGAAAUGCGCAGAUAUCAGGAGGAACACCGGUGGCGAAGGCGGUUCUCUGGGCCUGUACUGACGCUGAGGAGCGAAAGCGUGGGGAGCAAACAGG